UGUACAAGAGCUCAAUCUGUUAAAGCAAAGACGACGAUAAAUCAGCAGUCAAUACAUUUCAAGUACAUUUAACAUGGUUCAAAAGUGGAAGACCUCAUUUUCUGGAGAUUGAUCACCAGAAAUAACCAUUGUCUUCAGGCUCAAGUUCUAUUCUAAUUUGAGGCACAACUUUCACUGGAGUUCGUGGAGGGCUGAAUGCAAAAAGAAAACAAGGAGGAGUGGCAGCAUUCCUCUUCAGGGGAGCAUCCUUCCUCUCCCAGCCACAGGAGUCAGGUUCUUCACGGAGCAGAGGAAGAAGUAACCCCACUCACACCAGCCCAAACUCUCUGCAUCAUUGUACUUUAACUACUAAAGCCCCGUUGUCCUUUCCCAUUGUCAUUCAGCUGGGGGUAAAGAGAGCCAACUCCCCAGGAGAGAGACAGUGAUUUAAUAGACAUGUGACCUCAAAUGAAGCCUUGGUAGGGAAAUGCUUUAAAGGCACAAGGGCAAUAUUUUUGUUUAAGUGCAUAUAGAACAAAAAAAAAACCCAACUGAAGUAUUCUAAGGCACACGGCUUAAGAGCAACAUUAGCAGCUAUGCUUCAUUAUUUUAAUGCACACGACAACCAGAGAUUAGAGCUCCGAGUAAAUCACACGCUAGACAGCCACUUAUCCUCUCUCAAUUUUCAAGCCAGGAUUACCAGCCACAAACAAGAGACCUUGCGGAAUGUGACUAAGCAAGUCACAUCUUUGUGCGCUUUUAAAAAUUAAACGAAUGAACGAAUUAAAGAGCCGUGGAAUACUCCAAACAAGUGUAUUAUUUUCACUGGUAGUGGAGCUGGUUGCCCAGAGGACUUGCAUCCUAAAGAGCAAAACAAAAAACAAAAGUGAAAGAGACGAGGGGAAGAGAGAGCACGCAGAACACAUAACAUUUCACUAGACACAGAGCAGAGUAUGCUUGUGAAAACGGGACUCUUGGUUCUCGGAAAUGAAAGUGCCACCGGCAGAGGUUAGGGACAUCUGAAAGAUGACAAGCUCCGGGCCAGGUGCCUGCAGCGGGUAAAGAUCAUGCUGAGUCUGAGUCAAACUAGGCAGGGAGGAGGGAGUGCACCUAGGGACACCCAGUAUUAGCUACCUAGAGGUUAUUACUUUACGACGGCAGGAAGCUCCUUACAUCGUC